rnacentral:antisense_RNA from 1 species
UGUAGGAGUGAGCCUGCUCGCGAUGGCGGAGUGUCAGUCGAAGUCUCUUUGACUGAUACCCUGCCAUCGCGAGCAGGCUCACUCCUACA